rnacentral:rRNA from 1 species
AGCUAACGCGAUAAGCAUCCCGCCUGAGGAGUACGGCCGCAAGGCUAAAACUCAAAGGAAUUGACGGGGACCCGCACAAGCAGCGGAGCGUGUGGUUUAAUUCGAUGCUACACGCAGAACCUUACCUGGGUUUGACAUAUAGGUUGUAGUGAAGUGAAAAGGGAGCGACCAUUCGGGGAGCCUAUACAGGUGUUGCAUGGCUGUCGUCAGCUCGUGUCGUGAGAUGUUGGGUUAAGUCCGGUAACGAGCGCAACCCUUGUCGUAAGUUACAAGUGUCAUAGGAGACUGCCGGUGACAAACCGGAGGAAGGUGGGGAUGACGUCAAGUCAGCAUGACCAUUAUAUCCAGGGCGACACACACGCUACAAUGGUCGGUACAAUGGGCAGCCAAGCCGCGAGGCGGAGCCGAAUCCCGACAAAACGCGAUCACAGUAGAGGACUACUCGUCUGAAACCGCGCUGUGCAAGAACCGGAGGAUGGUGAGAGUCACCGCGGUGUCAGCUAUAGCGCGGUAGAUAUUGUUCGGGUGUUGUAGACACACCCCCUCUCAUCUUAUGAGAUGUCGACACGCGAGAUCCCUAUCGUCACACUCACCGGAGACGCCGUCUAAGGCGGGAUCGGUGACUGGGACGAAGUCG